UAUGAUGUGAGAGAAUCCUUUUCCUGGUUUAUUAUGUCAUACUCAAUACACCAGGGUGGCUGAUAUAUGAAUUGAUAUCACCUGUUAUCCUCGUCAUUCACAUAUGUUAAAUGCACUUGUAGCCAUAAUACAUACACCUUGAUAUCUACCACAGUCAUGCUUAGCACUUGGACUGGCACGUUGCUCACAUCUCUUUCUAAUCCUUUCUUCAUAAGCUUUUUCUAAGCUUACAUAUUUUCAUCGGCUACCCAUUUAGAAAAGCUCAACUAUACAUAUGUAAAAAGGUUUCAGUAAGAAUGCAUAACCAACUAAAUUAUUAGCACAAACACAAUAAAUAAAUAAAUAAAUAAUAAUGUUUGUACCUCCAAUAUGCUAUCAAGAAUUAAUAACAUCCUUCAGUGAACCAUUGCGCUGAUUUGAACGCUGAUUUGAACGCUCUGACUCAUUAGGCCUUUCUUUACAAGGACAAAAUCACGAAAAGGCAAAAUAAAGCAAAGAGCUCACCUUGCAAAAUUAGGAAAGGGAGCUUUCAAUUGGAAGAAGAAGUUGGCCCCGAGACAAUGGUCCACACAAAUGGAGGCAAAAGUUCAUGUAAAGAACACAAAUCAAAGCAUGCACCACAUAAAUAGAGAAUCAUCCGAAACUCAAAUCAUCGGAAUAAAACAAGAGAUCUUAUUAGCCUUUGCUAACUUGGAAAUCUAAAAUCAAAACAUCAAAUCACCAAACAAAGGUGAGUAAGAAAACAGAACUUAAAAAAUAAAAAACAGAAUGAAAUAUGAACACAGAGCAGAAAUUAGCCGCUACAGAACAUUUAUAACCAAGAAGUGACCAGCCCUAUUCAAUAGCAUCAUCAUCCUAAUUCCCAAGUCAUACCCUUUGCUAAAAACUCUUUUAAGUCAUGCAUUUUCUAACUAUGAUUGUAUUGCUUUUGACUCUAAAGACAGUAAAUGUUCCAACUUGUCUAAGGCUACAAAAAUAUGUUAAUGAUGGUAAACUUGACUUAAAACAAAUACGUUCCCUCCAAUAUGAGUUCUCUCUAUCUUGGUUCUAAACGUGGUAAACUUGGUUUAAAACAAAUAAGCUCUCUCUAUCUGCAACCCUUAGAACACCUAGUUUAAGUAUGCAACAUUUUAUCUUAAUUAAAUUCAGAAAGUUGAAUAUGGCUUUAAGGCAUUUUACAAAUAGGUUUUGGGCACUAAUUAGGAUGGAGAAAAAUACUACAGAGAGUAAACAGAGCAGAAAUUAGCUGUUAUGGAACAUUUAUAACCAAGAGGUGACAAUCGCAACUGUAUUUGAUUGAAUUCAACUUUUCAUCCAUUCACAAUAUUCAUCAUUUUCCAUGAUUAAUGAUUCUAGAGAAUGAAAUGUUUGAAAUGAGAAUGAGUUCUUCAAUUGUUUAAGUUGCUCCUGAGAUGAGUAUGUGUUCUGUGUUUGUUUCAUGGAUACCCAAUUAAUUGGAGAACAAGAUUAGAUAACCCAAAAAAUGAAGAAACUUCACCGUGCUUUUCGGAUGACAAAAUUUUGCCACCACAAUAGUGGUGGCGAACUCUGCUCGGCAAACAAUAGCUCAUCCCUAUUCCUCGAACAAGACCCUGCCUCUCAUUUUUUUCUCUUUUUUUUUUGUUAAUUUGGUUUGAAGAGACAAAAUAUGCAAGGGAAAAAGAAAUCACGCAAAAGUGGGGAAAUCCAAUUGUUUUAAAUUCAAGAGUUAGCUACUUGCAUGAAAUUAUUAUUCUAAAUUCAAGAGUUAGCUACUUGCGUGAAAUUUCAUAAGUGACUUGGCACAAAAACUGCCUUCCUUUCCUGGAAAAAAAAAAAGAGAACCAAAAAUUAUACAUUUAACCCAUCAAUCAUGCUGAACGCUCAUCUGAAGUGGCCUGAAUUUAACAUCAAAGAAUCUUUGGAACUAAUUUCACUACCAUGGCAUAUUUCGACAAUCUAAGCUUGCUCAGACUCAAAAAAAAAAAGUAUAGCUAAUUGUCAAAAAAAAAUACAUCAUCUUUUCUUAGCUUUACAUUGCAUAAAUUCAGGGCUAACAAGUUCAUAUUGUUAGACCACCAUUCAUUUAUUGAAGUUAGGAAUAACACCUAGACCAACUGUAAUAACCUCUCAAUAUGUUUAGAAAAUCACCUAUAUUUUUCUUGUUACUUGGUUUUGGAUAGAAAAGUUAGUUGUAAUGCCUCUGGAAUACAAAUACCUUAAUGUAAUUCCUUUAUAAUAGUUUGUCUGUUGACAACCUAAUUAAACUCAUUCAAAAAAAAAAUUGAACUUGCAAAUUUGGUGUUCAACACCUUUUAAUUUGAUUAGUUUCCUGCGUAAUUUCUAAUGUUUUAAAUCUCAAAUAUAGAAAAUGAAUUGGAUAUAUUCAUAGGCUAGAUUACAAACUACAUUAGCUAAACCCACAAAGUAAAAUAGGAAAAGGAUAAAACACAUACACACACACAAACACAAAGUGAAACAGAAAGUAUGAAAUGCCUGGCCGUGUCUUACUCUUACACAAGGAAAAUUAAAGAAAGAAAAAGAGAAAAAUAGCAUCCAAUUGGCCUUCCAUUUAUUCCUUUCUGUUCUGUAGUUUUUUUGGUUCUUUUUGGAAACUUAUUAGUUUAUAAUGGAUUAAACUAUACAGAUAUUAUAAUAAGAAAAGGUUAUAGGAACUGCAAAACCUGUUAGGUGCGGUUUAUGAGAAGAAAAAUCAAUUGCUCCAAUACAUUAUAAAUGAGGUGUUAAAAAAAAUGACAAAUUAAUGCUCCACCAGUUUUGAUAUCAAAGAAGUUGUUGCUCAAUAUAAACGUCUACAUCUGGCUACGUCAAUUUUGCAACAGUUUGCCAACUUGUUACAAAAGAUUUGAAAGGUAUUUUAUUUUCAACAGAAUCUAAAACCAAAUGAAUAUUUCGAAGUGGUUAAACAAAAUGCUCAUGGGUUUGGUUGCCAAUUCAUGUACUAAUCACAAAUCAAGAACUACUUGGUUUCUAUCCAAGUGGACAUUUUCAUUGGCUUGGGUAUUAAGCAUCGAAAGUCUCUUACUUAUUUUCUUUAUUCAUAACCGUUGACAAUGACACCAGUUUUUUCGCUCUGCAAUUUUCAAAUUUACGUGAACCAUAUAAUGUACUAUGUAAACACAGGAAGGGAACCAUAAUGUCAUAACAAAUUACAAAAAACAAAAAAACAAGCAAAUACCAUAUCACAAUCGAAACAUGCAUUGAUGAAAUUACAUUAAACCAAUCCAAAACAUCAAACAAUUUUCUGAAACGGAGAAAAACUAACACACAAUAAUUGUAGAUGUUAAAUGAGGACAUAUAGCGAAUAUAUGGUGUGCACGUCAAAUAAGUUUGAAUGACCUGUCUAAAAAUACAGCCCUUAAUCAUAAAACAAAAGACAUCAGCACAACAAACAAAUCACAUCAAUGCGACUUUCAAUUAUGAUCAGCAAAUUGAUAAACUCAAAACCGAUAAGCUAAUAGACAUAGAGUGAAAAGUUCACCUUUCAAAACCAUCGAAACUUCACAAUGCUCUUCUGGUGAAGAAAUUCAACGACAAUGGCUAUGGCAGUGGCGGUGGUGGAUUCCGGUCAACAGGCAAUGACUCCUCCGUGCUCCUCGGACUCCCUUUUUUGUGGCUUUGCUAUUACUUUCCCCUUCUUCUCUAUUUCUUGUUUGCUUGUAAUGGGAUGGAGUUAGAAAACUUGUAUGCGUUUUUAGUGAUGUGCAUCAAUGAUUCUUGGAGAUGAAAUCUUUGAGAUAACAGUAGUGGCUUCUUCAUAAUUUUAGCAGUUAAAAAACAAUAAACUGCUGCAUUAGUUAACCCAAACUGAAAGAAAACAUGCGUCAAAAAUGAAUGGUAACGAGGUUUCUACCAACCGCUUCCUACCCCUCCAAGAAGUACUCCUGUCCAACUAACAAAACCAAAUGCCCUCAAAGAACAACAAUGAAGGACUCACUCUUGCAGCUACCAAAGAACGCUG
rnacentral:lncRNA from 1 species